AGAGUUUGAUCCUGGCUCAGAACGAACGCUGGCGGCGUGCUUAACACAUGCAAGUCCAACGUGAAAGGGGAGCAAUCCCCCGGUAGGGUGGCGAACGGGUGAGUAAUACAUGGGAAUCUGUCCUGGAGAUGGGGAUAUCCUUCCGAAAGGAGGGUUAAUACCGAAUAUUGUCCGGGACCGUGAAGGGUUCCGGGGAAAGGGAGGCCUCUGAUACAAGCUUUCGCCUUAAGAUGAGCCCAUGGCCCAUCAGCUAGUUGGUAGGGUAAAGGCCUACCAAGGCUACGACGGGUCGCUGGUCUGAGAGGACGACCAGCCACACUGGCACUGAGAUACGGGCCAGACUCCUACGGGAGGCGAC
rnacentral:rRNA from 1 species